rfam:Drosophila willistoni strain TSC#14030-0811.24 scf2_1100000004921 genomic scaffold, whole genome shotgun sequence.
GCCAAGGCUUUUUUAAAGCCAUCCCACAAAAACAACAACAAUAAA